rnacentral:rRNA from 1 species
GACAUGCAGAGAACUUUCCAGAGAUGGAUUGGUGCCUUCGGGAACUCUGACACAGGUGCUGCAUGGCUGUUGUCAGCUCGUGUCGUGAGAUGUUGGGUUAAGUCCGUAACGAGCGCAACCCUUGUCCUUAGUUACCAGCACGUUAUGGUGGGCACUCUAAGGAGACUGCCGGUGACAAACCGGAGGAAGGUGGGGAUGACGUCAAGUCAUCAUGGCCCUUACGGCCUGGGCUACACACGUGCUACAAUGGUCGGUACAAAGGGUUGCCAAGCCGCGAGGUGGAGCUAAUCCCAUAAAACCGAUCGUAGUCCGGAUCGCAGUCUGCAACUCGACUGCGUGAAGUCGGAAUCGCUAGUAAUCGUGGAUCAGAAUGUCACGGUGAAUACGUUCCCGGGCCUU